GCCAUCUUUUGAGUGUGCUCUGCUGUCGCCGCCAUUUUGUGAGCGUACUCUGGUACAGCCGCCAUUUCAGUCACAGACACUGUGUCGCGUUCUUCCUCCGUGACACCCACAGUAAACAAAGAGCCAACAGUCAACAAAGCAUA